rnacentral:lncRNA from 1 species
GGGGGUGGGGGUCCAACCAUAUGUCCCACCCCGAAACCACCUUCCCUUAAAGAUGCCACUAGAUGGACACGAAUUAGGUUAGAGGGAAUUUAGAGUCGAGCGGGAACCAGGUGGCAAGGAAAGUAAAAAAGGAUAAUUUAUGCUUCACAAAAAAAACAAAAAAAAAACAGAAAAGGGGAAGCAAGUGGAAUCAUUUCAUGUUCACCCCCUCAAUAACAGGGGUCAGUUUAUUGUGUUAUUAAUUAAAGAAUUCAUUUAUAAAGGUUUCAGGAAAUCAAUAACAUGUCAUUAAAUGUACUUUGUAAAUAAUGAAAUUAACUGAACAAAAUUAUUUAUAUCGUUUUAUUUGCUCUAAAAAUGCAUGAAAUAUUUGCGACUGUACAUCUAGCAUUUCACCAACAAGAGGCAAGAUCAGUUAAUAUAUGUGUUUCUAAUUAUUAUGCUGAAUAUGAACAACUAACUUUGAACAAACCGAUGCUAAUAAAUGAUCGCUUAAUCAAUAGUUGGAGAACUGAGAAAUCUUGCACUAGUCUAGUAAAAAAAGAUAAGAUAAAACAAAUGUAUUGUUAAUGAUUCAAGUUUUCAGCUUUAUUUUUUUAUAAACAUAUUUGCAAACACAGAUCUGGGUAAUAUACAUAUAUUAUGCUCCAGCAAAUAUGAAUAGAACAUAGAAAAUAGCUUAUUAUAUUGUGGAUUAAUAUCUCGUUGGUCUUUAUUUUUAUAUGUGGAAAAUACUUUUGUAAUACAUUUGUAGUAAAACGAAGCUUUUGUUUUUCGUUUUGCAAACACAGCUUCUCUGUUGGUGUGACUAGUUACAAAGGUAUUUAACUAAGGAUUAUGUACCCUUGUGUUGAUUCAAUGAUAAACAUAAGGAUUUUUUUAAUAGAAAAUCAACAGCCUUUCCCUUUGUAUUCUCAUAUUUGGCAAUUCGGUGCUUGGUAGAUAUAAGAUUAUGUAGUGCUAACAAUGAUUUCAUCAAAACAAGUUUAUAAAUUUAGAUAUUGAUUAAAACAAAUAAAAAUAUGGACCAAUAGACCACUUUCGAGUUCAUCUGUCACCGGAAAAAAAUCGUCAAUGAGGCGCGCCUUUGUGAAGUCAUUUACCAGAUAAAGGGGAUCGCCUGUAUCCCUGCACUAUCAAAGUUCAUCAAGCGUCUUCAAGUAGUGAUCGUCAUUGUGCAAGAUAAACUAGAAAUAUUUUUUGUUUUGUAAGUAAUUUUAAAUGACCAAUGUCCAAAUGACAGCAGUGCUUAUUGUCAAUUAUGAGAAUUUAGUUUUCCGAAUAAAUCGUGCAAUAUAGUAUUAUAAUUUUCCAACCACUCGCUCAACAUUGAAAUGGAAGUGACGAUGCCCCUAAACGCACGAAUGAUGUUCACUAAAGCCAGAGUUUUUGACGGAAAUGCAUCGAACUCGAAAGUUGUCUAUUCAAGUACACCUUAUCGGGUGCGCUCAACUUUAGUUACUCAGCACGAGGUAAUUUGGAAUGUAAAGGUUGUUUUGGACUUGUUGUAAGCAAUAAAUGCUAGCACAUAUAGAAAAACAAGUGAGUA